AGUGAACGCUGGCGGUAGGCCUAACACAUGCAAGUCGAACGGCAGCACAGUAAGAGCUUGCUCUUACGGGUGGCGAGUGGCGGACGGGUGAGGAAUACAUCGGAAUCUACUUUUUCGUGGGGGAUAACGUAGGGAAACUUACGCUAAUACCGCAUACGACCUACGGGUGAAAGCAGGGGAUCUUCGGACCUUGCGCGAUUGAAUGAGCCGAUGUCGGAUUAGCUAGUUGGCGGGGUAAAGGCCCACCAAGGCGACGAUCCGUAGCUGGUCUGAGAGGAUGAUCAGCCACACUGGAACUGAGACACGGUCCAGACUCCUACGGGAGGCAGCAGUGGGGAAUAUUGGACAAAGGGCGCAAGCCAGAUCCAGCCAUACCGCGUGGGUGAAGAAGGCCUUCGGGUUGUAAAGCCCUUUUGUUGGGAAAGAAAAGCAGCAGGUUAAUACCCCGCUGUUCUGACGGUACCCAAAGAAUAAGCACCGGCUAACUUCGUG
rnacentral:rRNA from 1 species